rnacentral:lncRNA from 1 species
UUGACACUUCCGGUAAGGUUAGAGACUCUCCCGUGCUAGGAUUACAAAUCACCGCCGAUCUUGGCCUCUGCUCUUGACGACAGAUCAAUCCAUUUAAAUGGUGAUAUUCUAUUGAUGCUGUGGAACAAUCUUUGGGCUAAUAAGUUUGAUGAUCGACAGAAUCAAGACGUGAUGUUGUUGUGAUUUUGCUUGGACACUCUCACACUUUUUGUUUCUCACUCACGUUUCAUACUUGUGUUACAACUGAGCACAAGCACUCACUUCUCUCUUUACUCUCUCACUGUCUUGUUCUUGUUCAUGUAGAGAGAGAAGAGAGGAUACUCUACAUUUCUACUCUUUCAAC